UGGGGAAUCUUCCGCAAUGGGCGCAAGCCUGACGGAGCAACGCCGCGUGAGUGAAGAAGGUUUUCGGAUCGUAAAGCUCUGUUGAGAGGGACGAGAGAUAUAAUCAGGAAAUGGGUUAUAGAGGACGGUACCUUUCGAGGAAGCCACGGCUAACUACGUGCCAGCAGCCGCGGUAAUACGUAGGUGGCGAGCGUUGUCCGGAAUUAUUGGGCGUAAAGGGAGCGCAGGUGGGAAAGUAAGUCAGUCUUAAAAGUUCGGGGCUCAACCCCGUGAUGGGAUUGAAACUACUUUUCUUGAGUGCAGGAGAGGAAAGCGGAAUUCCUAGUGUAGCGGUGAAAUGCGUAGAUAUUAGGAGGAACACCAGUGGCGAAGGCGGCUUUCUGGACUGUAACUGACACUGAGGCUCGAAAGCGUGGGGAGCGAACAGGA
rnacentral:rRNA from 1 species